rnacentral:rRNA from 1 species
UAGGGAAUCUUCGGCAAUGGGGGGAACCCUGACCGAGCAACGCCGCGUGAGUGAAGAAGGUUUUCGGAUCGUAAAGCUCUGUUGUUAAGGAAGAACGAGUGUGAGAAUGGAAAGUUCAUACUGUGACGGUACUUAACCAGAAAGGGACGGCUAACUACGUGCCAGUAGCCGCGGUAAUACGUAGGUCCCGAGCGUUGUCCGGAUUUAUUGGGCGUAAAGCGAGCGCAGGCGGUUAGAUAAGUCUGAAGUUAAAGGCAGUGGCUCAACCAUUGUAGGCUUUGGAAACUGUUUAACUUGAGUGCAGAAGGGGAGAGUGGAAUUCCAUGUGUAGCGGUGAAAUGCGUAAAUAUAUGGAGGAACACCGGUGGCGAAAGCGGCUCUCUGGUCUGUAACUGACACUGAGGCUCGAAAGCGUGGGGAGCGAACAGG